CUCUGCAGGGUGUACCCUACCCAACUGUGCUCUGCCCACCUGCCAGCCUCCGCCCUGCUUCUCCCCCCUCUCAGCAGAGGUACCUGGCACCCGCCAGAAGUGCUCGCAGCCCUGCAUCCCACACAGACUGUUACAAACCCCCACACUAACAGUGAACUGUGGCUUCAAACUGUGUAAUAAUCACUGAGUUCCUUGGCUGAUAUCAUUUGAAGAGGCAAAAAUAAUUUGAAAAAUCAGGUUUUCAUUUCAAGAGCUCCUGAUUUUGCUGGUUUGCUGUCUCUACUUCUGCUCUCAAGUCACAGGGAAGGAUUUUCAAGAAGGCACUUGAAUGUACUUGAAGGUAUUUCCAGGGAGCUUCCUUCUUGUCUGAGAAUACAUGACUGUGACAGAUACAUUACUCUCCAGGAAAUGAAUGAAGAGGUAUGAUAUAUCUUCCUUUAGCAAAAACCUAUGUGAGAGGAUUUGACUGGGUCCACAGAGAGAUCAAAUACUAAAAAGGCAAUAAAGGGAGAACAAUUGGAAGAAGCUGAAUGAGUCACAGUGCAGUGCAGAAUGAUUUUCUUAAUCUCCACCAUGUGUUUCUGUUAAAUAACUCCUUAUUUUGCUUUUUAUGAUACUGUGACAGGUCUUAAAUUGUUAGUCUCUUUUCAGAUUGUAUGAUAAUUAUAAGAAAUGUGGCAGGAUACACAAGUACUGCAAAUGUAGAUGCUGCAAUUUUAAUGUCUGUUACCAGCUCCAAUCACACCUACAUAUGCUUUAGACACGAAACUAAUCUUAAUAAUUUAAAUGGUACUUGCAUAUAUUAAGCUAAGCAAAUUUAUUCAUAUUUUGUGGAAUGGGUCAUUUUUACCAAACACCUAAAACCAAAAUGGGAAUAUUAAUAUUUUCCAAGAUAUUUCAUUGACAGUUUUAACUCAAUUUUUCCAUGUCUUUAAAAUAUGAAUUUUAAUAUUAUGGUGACAUAAGAAAAAUCAGAUCUUCAUAUUUUUGGACUAACCCAUUUAGUAACUAUUUCUGUAUUGCAACUGUAUGUAUUGAGCUUUCAGUCUUACAAUAAUAAAAACAUGCCAUCUUCUGUAGUAUAUGUUAGGUAGAGACAUAUGAGGAGUUUCAUCUGCUUGCUGCUUAAAUUUCAGUGCACACUGGCCAGAAGGUGGUGCUUUCAACCAUAGAUGUGCAAAUUGGGAAAGAAAGUAUGAAUAUGAGCUGUGUGAACAGUUUUCUGCAGUAAAUAAUAGAGGAAAGAAGAGAUAUCUGUGAAUUUCACGCAGGAAAACACAGCCUAAAAAUGAGCCACCACGGUAUUAAAUUAAAAAAAAAAAAAAAGAAAAGAAAAAGGAGUAGAUGUAAAAAGGAGUCUUCUCUCCUUUUUGCUUUUUGUCAUUUCGAUUCAAUUUACUGUCUAAAUAAGAUUUUCUUCUGAUUACAAGGUAGUGGUAAUAAAGGUUGGAAAGAAAAAGCUUCUACCUGUAUCAGUGAUGGAUUUUUGCCUGACUGCAGAACCCCUGGUGGUCAUGCUGCUCCCCAAGUUUGCUCUAAGAAGCAGCGUUAAGAAAGCAGAAGGCAAACUGAAGCUCCUACUCCUCCUUGAAAUAGCUUGAAUUUUUGGUUUGCACUGAUAGUCUUUAAAACAAACACUGUGGGAAAGAUGUUAGCUAUUUUUCUGAAAAGUGUAUUACAAGUGGAAGAGGUGAUAAUGACAAGUUUUUUCCUGCUAAAACCUUCUUGCUUUCUGUCCAGCCAGAAGAAUAAGAAACAUCCUACAGACGGAUUCUGAGUGUCUAGGAUUAAACAUGCACUUAUGCAUGUACAUCCAGUGUCUAGUUGGACACCUAUUUACUGCUUCUCUGCUGCCUUCCAAUGAUUUUGGAAGAUCUUAGGGAAAUCCCUAGCCAUUUAAAGCUUUUAUGCUCUAAUCCUGCACCUUCGCUAUGCUUACAACUGUGCCAUUUCACCUCUGACUAGUUUUAUUGCCCUCAGCAGGCUUAUUUGCAUAUGUAAAGUUUAUUAACAUACUUACCUAAAUGUUUGCAAAUUCAAGCCAUGAAAAUUAUCUUCUAAAGGUUUGAUUGGAAAUUACACUCCUUUGAUUAGAACUCUGUUCUUAGCUUUCAUUAAAUCUCAGUGGAUUUGCUUGACCUCUGGCUGAUCAUCCUAAUUAUCAGCUCUCUUUUAAUGUUAAUUAAAGAUUUGAUGGGAGAUACGAUGUAACAGUAAAAUGAAGUAAAAUAAGGUUUGUAAUACAAUCCAGGUC